rnacentral:rRNA from 1 species
AGAGUUUGAUCCUGGCUCAGGACGAACGCUGGCGGCGUGCCUAAUACAUGCAAGUCGAACGCACUCUCGUUUAGAUUGAAGGAGCUUGCUCCUGAUUGAUAAACAUUUGAGUGAGUGGCGGACGGGUGAGUAACACGUGGGUAACCUGCCCUAAAGUGGGGGAUAACAUUUGGAAACAGAUGCUAAUACCGCAUAAAACCUAACACCGCAUGGUGUAGGGUUGAAAGAUGGUUUCGGCUAUCACUUUAGGAUGGACCCGCGGUGCAUUAGUUAGUUGGUGAGGUAAAGGCUCACCAAGACCGUGAUGCAUAGCCGACCUGAGAGGGUAAUCGGCCACACUGGGACUGAGACACGGUCCAGACUCCUACGGGAGGCAGCAGUAGGGAAUCUUCCACAAUGGACGAAAGUCUGAUGGAGCAACGCCGCGUGAGUGAAGAAGGUUUUCGGAUCGUAAAACUCUGUUGUUGGAGAAGAAUGUAUCUGAUAGUAACUGAUCAGGUAGUGACGGUAUCCAACCAGAAAGCCACGGCUAACUACGUGCCAGCAGCCGCGGUAAUACGUAGGUGGCAAGCGUUGUCCGGAUUUAUUGGGCGUAAAGCGAGCGCAGGCGGUUUCUUAAGUCUGAUGUGAAAGCCUUCGGCUCAACCGAAGAAGUGCAUCGGAAACUGGGAAACUUGAGUGCAGAAGAGGACAGUGGAACUCCAUGUGUAGCGGUG